UUAAGAAAAUUGCUCCAACUAUUAGGUGGAAGACUAAGCUUGAAUAGCGAAGAAGAGCAUGGCAAGCUAUGAUAUUCCUUGGCGAGGUGCACGCAACCUUAGAACCAAGGGUUCUCGAAUUCGACUUCGAUUCGAAAGAAGAUCUGAGAAGAUAGCAUACGUGGAGAAUUGAAGCGUCUUAGUAUCCACAGGAAAAGAAAUCAAUAGAGAUACUGUUAUUAUCAGCGAGAGAAAGCAGUAGAGAACAAACCGAAUCUUUUAUAGAAAUAUAAAAGAAAUGUGGUGUUAUAAGACUUGCUUUUAUUCCUAAUUAAUUAUAAACAAGUUUUCUGGAAAGAAAUACCAAAGAGGGUGAUAGUCCCGUAAUUUAUAAUUGAAAGGAAGUGCAAGUAUCUUGAGUAUAGCUCAUUGGAUUUUGGGCUAGAAUUUGGGAGUCAUCAACUUCUAAUUCUAAAUAUAUUUCAAGUCUGAUAGCGUAAAAAGUACAGUGAUGGAACGUUGAAAAGAACUCUUAACCGAGAGUUAAAAGAGCCUGAAACCUAAUAGUGAUUGUAUGAUGCGGUUUUAAGGAAUUGCAUCGUACGUUUCGAAUAACGGACCAGGGAGUUUAUUUAAGUGGCGAGGUUAAUCUUAAAUCAGAGCAACCACAGCGAAAGCAAAAUUUUGCAGCUUGCGAGAAAAGAGAUAUGAAAAUGUCUUAAGUCACUUAGGUAUGACCCGAAACCGGUUGAUCUAAUCCUGAGCAAGGUGAAGUCUCUUUACAGAGAUGGAGGCCUUAAGAGGUUCUGUGAGAAAGCGUUCUUCUGACUUGGGAUUAGGGGCGAAAUACCAAUCGAAAUCGGUGAUAGCUGGUUCCUGCCGAAUUUGAUUUAAGUCAAGUCUUAGAGGAGAUAACUCAAAAGGUAGAGAUACUGAUUUAGAAUUUAGGAUGGGAAACUAUUCGGUUCUUCGUCAAACUCAGAAUUUUUGAGCAUCUAAGAAUCUAGGAAACGGGGGCGCGGGGUAAACUUGCGUUCCGAGAGGGGAACAACCCAAGACUAUAGUUAAGGUCCCUAAAACUAAUUAAGUGUUAAAGGUCGAAAUGUGUGUAUAAUCAUAGACAGCAGGGAGGUAGGCUUAGAAGCAGCCACCCUUUAAAGAAAGCGUAAUAGCUCACCUGUCAAGAUUAUAUGCCAUGUAAAUGGACGGGGCUAAAUUAGUUACCGAUACUAUAGAUAUCUGAAAAGAUAAUGGUAGGCAGGCGUUCUCUUUGGGUAGAACUUUUUUUGUGAAAAAAAAGGGACCAAAAAGAAAUGAAAAUCCUGGUGGUAGUACGGAGCAAAACAAAGUAAGAAUCUUUGGUACCGAAAGGGCAAGGGUUUCUCAGCAAUGCAAAUCAGCUGAGAGUAAGUCGAUCCUAACCAUAACCUAAAUGGAAAAAUGGGAAAGGGAAAAAGGUUAAAAUUCCUUUACUAAUUAGAUACGACUUGGCAACAAUAGAUUGAUUUCUAAAACUUUUGGUUAGAUCAAUAUUUCUCGUCUGGAAUAUUAAUUAAAACAAAUCAAGGGAGUAUUGUAAUGAUGAGAACUUGAUUAAUUUUAAGGAGCAAGUUCAAAGCUUGUUUGGUUAAUACCAAGAGUCCGUGAAAAAGAAAUUGAUAAGGAAUCUAAUUAAUCGUACCAAGAACCAGCACAGGUGCCCCUAGGUGAAAAACCUAAGGUAUGAGGGAGUAAUCGAGCUAAGGGAACUCGGCAAAUUAGUCCCGUAACUUCGGAAUAAGGGAUUCCUGCGAUUGUUUUCUCAGAAAGCGAUUACAGGACUCAGUGACAAGGAUGGCCCAACUGUUUAACAAAAACGUAGCUUUCCGCAACCCUUAACAGGUUAGUAUGGAAGGUGAAGUCUGCCCAAUGCUAGCAUCCGAAUGUUCUUUUCAAGGAAUUUAAGGACUAGUGAAUGGCGGGAAUAACUAUAAUUCUCUUAAGGUAGCGUAAUACCUUGUCGUUUUAUUGACGACUUGCAUGAAUGGCUUAAUGAGGUUGUCACUGUCCCUAGCUUGAUCCCCCCGAACACACUAUUCCGGUGCAAAGGCCGGAGUCCUCCAGUGGGAAGUAAAGACCCCGUGAAGCUUUACUGUAGUCUAUUAUUGUAGUAUGAAUUUUGUUGUAUAGAGUAGGUGGGAGCUGUUAAGAUUCAGGCGCAAGUUUGAAUAUAGGCGAAAUGUGUAACACCACUUUUCAAAAUUUAUAUUGCUCACUUUUGAAAAAAAAGGACACUAUUAGAUGGACAGUUUGGCUGGGGCGGCACUCUGCUGAAAGUAUAUCAGUAGAGCCCAAAGGUCAGCUCAUCAGGUUUAGAAUUUGCAGAAGUUACCAAAAAUCUUAAAUAUAAGUUACACUUUACUAUUGUUAUAUGUACCAUAUAAAUCCUGUUAAGUUUUAUGGAAAUCCAGAAAUAAAUUUUCAUAAAAAAUUAUGGGAAAAACUUCUAAAGAAAUAUGAAUCAAUAACAAAUAUAGCUAAAGUGUUUAAACUUAAUAUUAGACAACUUUACAAAUGGAAAGAGUUAAAAAAUAACUAUCCAUUAAUUGUUUUAAUAAAUCUGGCUAAGGAUGUUAAUCUAGCAUUUAAGUUGGAAUAUAUUAAAACAAGAAGAUUCAGUGAUAUAAUAAAAAAUCCAAAAUUAGGAUUUCACGAAAGUUGUCAAUUAAUCGAGUUUUUUGGUCAUUUACUUCAUGAUGGUGGAAUAGAUAAACAAUAUGGAGUUCAUUAUACAACACAUUCGAAGAAACUUGCUGACAGAUUUGAAAAUCUUGUUAAAUGCUGUUUUGGAGAAAUGAAUGUAGAAAGAAAAGAAUACAAAAAUAAAACAACACUUUAUUAUCCUGUUGUUUUAGGAUAUAUUCUUAAUGGAACAUUUAAAAUACAUAAAGGAAGUAAAGUUAAGAAUGAUAUAGGAAUUCCUUCUUUUAUUAAAAAUUCGUCAAAAGAAAAAAAAUGGUUGUAUAUAAUAACAUCUUAUGUUUGUGAUGGAAUAAAUAAAAGAGUUGCUAUAACAGCUUCAAGCAAUUCCAUUUAUGAACCUCCACAAUUAUUGAAGGAUAUAAAAUAUAUGUUGAAUAUGCUUGGAAUAAAUAGCGUGGUUAUUAAAGAAUCAUACGCAUAUAAAACUAAAAAAGAAGAAGAGCAUAAAGCAUGGAUUUUAAGAAUAAUUGAUAGAAAAGAAAAAAUCAUAUUUAAUAAAUAUUUAAGAAAGUAUGGUAAUUUCUGCGGCUAAAGAUCCUGAGUAGAGUGCAAGAGCAAAAGCUGGCUUGACUGUGUUCUGACCAAUAAAGAACGCAGAAAGGAAACUUGGGUCUAGCGAACCCCUGUACCCCUUUGUUGGGGGUCAGGGCUGACAGAAAAGCUACUCCGGGGAUAACUGAGUUGUCGCGCCUAAGCGCCCACAGCGACGGCGCGGUUUGCUACGACGAUGUCGGCUCGCCUUAUCCUGGCUGUGCAGAAGCAGCCAAGGGUGGGGGUGUUCACCCAUUAAAAAGGCUCGUGAGCUGGGUUCAAUACGCUGUGAAGCAGUAUGUUUAAUAUCUAGCGGAGGUGUAGUGUGUCUGAGUGGAAGAAUCAUUUAGUACGAGAGGAACGAUGGUUCGGGACCUCUAGUUUAUCUGUUGUCUGACAAGGCAGGCAGAGCAGCCACGUCCCAAGAGAUAAGAGCUGAAAGCAUCUAAGCUCGAAGCUUACCGCGAAAAGAGACACACAUUCAAGGCACUUGCAGAAGACAAGUUUGAUAGGACUGAGAUGUACGCAUCAAGGCAACGAGAUGUUCAGUCUGCAGUUACUAAAAGCCUAAAAAUUUUCUUAA
rnacentral:rRNA from 1 species